GGGAGUGCAUCCGAGCUGGUGUUCGGCCUGGUCUUCAAAACCUGUGGGGGGUCGCCUGGCGCGGCUCCCGGUGGGUUCGAUUCCCAUGCACUCCCGCCA
rnacentral:tRNA from 1 species